UACGUAGGGGGCAAGCGUUGUCCGGAUUUAUUGGGCGUAAAGAGCGUGUAGGCGGUUUGGUAGGUCCGCUGUGAAAACUCGAGGCUCAACCUCGAGACGCCGGUGGAAACCAUCAGGCUAGAGUCCGGAAGAGGAGAGUGGAAUUCCUGGUGUAGCGGUGAAAUGCAUUGAGAUCGGAAAGAACACCAACGGCGAAAGCACUCUGCUGGGCCGACACUGACACUGAGAGACGAAAGCUAGGGGAGCAAAUGGG
rnacentral:rRNA from 1 species